GAUUUUUGUCAACCGCAGCCUGGCGCUGGGGAAGAUUCGUUGCUUUGGCUUCGACAUGGACUACACUCUGGCUGCCUACGGGUCCCCAGCUUAUGAGGCCCUGACCUUCGAGCUGCUGCUGGAGCGCCUGGUGUGCAUUGGGUACCCGCAUGAGAUCCUGCGCUACACCUACGACCCCACCUUCCCCACCAGGUGUGUGGCUCAGGACAGGUGGGAGGCCACCCGGCCUUGGUACCCCCAUCCACAGUGCCCCCCGACCCCCGUCUGCAGGGGGCUGGUGUUUGAUGCACUCUAUGGGAACCUGCUGAAGGUGGACGCCCACGGGAAUGUGCUGCUGGGUGCCUAUGGCUUCACCUUCCUCUCGGAGUAAGGGACAAAGGUGCCAGGAGGGUGGCAGGCCAGGAAGGGAGGACUGCUCACCUUGGGGGAGGACAGAGGGAGGGAGGGAGGAAGGACACAGGCCCACGGUGGAGGCUCAGCACAGAAGGGAUGCG
rnacentral:sRNA from 1 species